rnacentral:rRNA from 1 species
AGUGAACGCUGGCGGUAGGCCUAACACAUGCAAGUCGAACGGCAGCACAGUAAGAGCUUGCUCUUACGGGUGGCGAGUGGCGGACGGGUGAGGAAUACAUCGGAAUCUACUUUUUUGUGGGGGAUAACGUAGGGAAACUUACGCUGAUACCGCAUACGACCUACGGGUGAAAGCAGGGGAUCUUCGGACCUUGCGCGAUUGAAUGAGCCGAUGUCGGAUUAGCUAGUUGGCGGGGUAAAGGCCCACCAAGGCGACGAUCCGUAGCUGGUCUGAGAGGAUGAUCAGCCACACUGGAACUGAGACACGGUCCAGACUCCUACGGGAGGCAGCAGUGGGGAAUAUUGGACAAUGGGCGCAAGCCUGAUCCAGCCAUACCGCGUGGGUGAAGAAGGCCUUCGGGUUGUAAAGCCCUUUUGUUGGGAAAGAAAAGCAGCAGGUUAAUACCCCGCUGUUCUGACGGUACCCAAAGAAUAAGUACCGGCUAACUUCGUG